rnacentral:rRNA from 1 species
AUCGAACGCUGGCGGCAGGCCUAACACAUGCAAGUCGAACGAGUGGCGGACGGGUGAGUAAUGUCGGGGAAACUGCCCGAUGGAGGGGGCUAACUACUGGAAACGGUAGCUACUACCGCAUAAUAUCCGUUGAGCCUAGGUCGGAUUAGCUAGUUGGUGGGGUAAAGGCCGAUCAAGGCGACGAUCCCUAGCUGGUCUGAGAGGAUGACCAGCCACACUGUAACUGAGACACGGUCCAGACUCCUACGGGAGGCAGCAGUGGGGAAUAUUGCGCAAUGGGCGCAAGCCUGAUGCAGCCAUGCCGCGUGUAUGAAGAAGGCCUUCGGGUUGUAAAGUACUUUCAGCGGGGAGGCGGUACCCGCAGAAGAAGCACCGGCUAACUCCGUGCCAGCAGCCGCGGUAAUUC